rnacentral:rRNA from 1 species
UACGUAGGGGGCAAGCGUUGUCCGGAAUCAUUGGGCGUAAAGCGCGUGUAGGCGGCCCGAUAAGUCCGCUGUGAAAGUCCAGGGCUCAACCCUGGGAUGCCGGUGGAUACUGUCGGGCUCGAGUCCGGAAGAGGCGAGUGGAAUUCCGUGGUGUAGCGGUGAAAUGCGCAGAUAUCAGGAGGAACACCAAUGGCGAAGGCAGCUCGCUGGGACGUGACUGACGCUGAGACGCGAAAGCGUGGGGAGCGAACAGG